CAGCCGCCACGGUAAUACAGAGGAUGCAAGCGUUAUCCGGAAUGAUUGGGCGUAAAGCGUCUGUAGGUGGCUUUUCAAGUCCGCCGUCAAAUCCCCGGGCUCAACCUGGGAAUGGCAGUGGAUACUGGCUCGCUAGAGUGUGUCAGAGGAUGGUGGAAUUCCCGGUGUAGCGGUGAAAUGCGUAGAGAUCGGGAGGAACAUCAGUGGCGAAGGCGGCCAUCUGGGACAACACUGACGCUGAGGCACGAAAGCGUGGGGAGCAAACAGGAUUAGAUACCCCCGUAGUCCCUGUCUCUUAUAC
rnacentral:rRNA from 1 species